UAUAGCUUCUUUACUUCUACAGAAGAAUUUCUUAUUUAUUCAUCAGAAUUUCUGAUUUUCUAAGAAUCUCUAAUUUAUUCGCCAGUGCUUAUUAAUUACAUUACAAGCAAUAAAUCACACAUUAUUGUAGUAAUAAUAAAUUAGAUUUCUAUUUAUGCGUGGUAAGCGAAAAAAUAUCUUGGAAAUAUACGCACACGGUAUAAGACGUGGUUUGAACGAAGGAUGAUUUAUACUUAUGCAAAUAAAAAGGAAAAUGCACCUUGAAUUUCCGUAAUGCCAUAUUUUUCUCGCAGCGGCAGCUGCAUCCUUUGCAACUCCGCAUUCAUUUAGGCGAAAUACAGAGUCUCAAGUAAGAAGGAAGAGAUGCGCUACCCCUUUACAGCGGACACAAUAUGCCAAGUUAGUAAUUUUCUCGGAAAAUUUGUAAAUUUUUUACUCGACUACGGCAACUACUCAAAAUGGAUUUUAUGGAAACGAUUAAAAUAUUAAUCAGCCACAGUGAGGGAUCUUUGCUCAAGCGAGAACACGAAGGCAAAAAGAAAAAAGAUACACCUAAGACAAAUUUACAGACUGAAUGCUACGCUAUGCCGCAAGAAUGUCCCAUGAAUACAUGAGGAGAAAUAGAAUUGAGGAGUUAGCAGAGCUUGCAGCUUUCGUGCAACAUGAAUACGCAUAAGAAGAAGAAGAAACAUGACAUACUGCCGUAAGUGUUCUCACCCUUCUCGCUGCGUUACAUUUUUCUCCGUUGUCAACCUCGAGAAAAAUUCUAAGCAUACUUAUUCUCUGUACUAUGACUAUCUCUCUUGUACAACAAUGAAUGCUGGCACUUUCUGAAAAUGCAGAUGACUGGAUACAUA